rnacentral:tRNA from 1 species
UCUCUGGUGGCCUAGUGGUUAGGAUUCUGGGCUUUCAGUUCCAAGGCCCAGGUUCAACCCCUGGUCAGGGAA